UACGGCUCAGUAACACGUGGACAACCUACCCUAUGGAGGGGGAUAACCCCGGGAAACUGGGGAUAAUACCCCAUAGACUAUGAAUGCUGGAAUGCUUUGUAGUUGAAAGGUCCGCCGCCAUAGGAUGGGUCUGCGGCCGAUUAGGUUGUUGUUGGGGUAACGGCCCAACAAGCCUGUAAUCGGUACGGGUUGUGGGAGCAAGAGCCCGGAGAUGGAUUCUGAGACACGAAUCCAGGCCCUACGGGGCGCAGCAGGCGCGAAAACUUUACAAUGCGGGAAACCGUGAUAAGGGAACUCCGAGUGCCCGUAAAAUCGGGCUGUCCAUCUGUUUAAAUAACAGGUGAAGAAAGGGCCGGGCAAGACCGGUGCCAGCCGCCGCGGUAAUACCGGCGGCUCGAGUGGUGGCCACUAUUACUGGGCUUAAAGCGUUCGUAGCUGGUCUGUUAAGUCUCUGGGGAAAUCUACUGGCUUAACCAAUAGGCGUCUCAGGGAUACUGGCAGACUAGGGACCGGGAGAGGUGAGAGGUACUCCAGGGGUAGGAGUGAAAUCCUGUAAUCCUUGGGGGACCACCUGUGGCGAAGGCGUCUCACCAGAACGGCUCCGACAGUGAGGGACGAAAGCUGGGGGAGCAAACCGGAUUAGAUACCCGGGUAGUCCCAGCCGUAAACGAUGCGCGUUAGGUGUAUCGGUGACCACGAGUCACCGAGGUGCCGAAGAGAAAUCGUGAAACGUGCCGCCUGGGAAGUACGGUCGCAAGGCUGAAACUUAAAGGAAUUGG
rnacentral:rRNA from 1 species